rnacentral:misc_RNA from 1 species
GAUGAAGAACGCAGCGAAAUGCGAUACGUAAUGUGAAUUGCAGAAUUCAGUGAAUCAUCGAAUCUUUGAACGCACCUUGCGCCCUUUGGCUAUUCCGAAGGGCAUGCCUGUUUGAGUAUCGUGAACACCUCAACUCUCAUGGUUUGCCAUGAUGAGCUUGGACUUGGGGGUUUUGCUGGCCUUCGGUCGGCUCCUCUCAAACGGAUCAGCUUUCCAGUGUUUGGUGGCGUCACGGGUGUGAUAACUAUCUACGCCUGUGGUUUUCUGCCAGAUAACCUUCAGCGAUGGAGGUUCGCUGGGGCUCAUAAAUGUCUCUCUUCAGUGGAGACAGCUUUUUGGACGUUUGAUCUCAAAUCAGGUAGGACUACCCGCUGAACUUAAGCAUAUCAAUAAGCGGAGGA